rnacentral:lncRNA from 1 species
CACUGUGGAUAUUGAUUCCUUAUCAGAGCUAUGAUUUGAAAAUAUUUUCUCCCAUUCUAUAGGUUGCUUUUUUCACUCUGUUGAUUAUACUCUUUGACACACCCAUGGAGAAGAUUUUAAAGGGCAGGUAGAAGUCAGACAGUUUGAGCAGCAGCGUAGUGAAGAGAAGGCCUUUCAAUCGAAGGAAAUAGUCUGUGCAAACACACAGAGGAGAGAACCGCAACAUGCAGAGACAGGGCUUCACCGUGUUGAAUCCUGACCAGACUGUCAGGCUCGUCUCAAACUCCUGGUCUCAAGCCAUCCACCCGCCUCAGCUUCCCAAAGUGUUGGGAUUACAGGAGUAAGCCACCGCACCCGGCCCCUGUUGUUGUCUUUUCUUCUUUAAUUGACAAAUAAAAUCUUAUAUAUUUAUAAUAUACAA